GGGGUUUAUUAUGGAUCCCCAUUAGUUCCUGCCAAGGCAGCAGUUACUCUUCCUGGGGUUUAUUAUGGAUCCCCAUUAGUUCCUGCCAAGGCAGCAGCUACUCUUCCUGGGGUUUAUUAUGGAUCCCCAUUAGUUCCUGUCACAGCAGCAGCUACUCUUCUUGGGGUUUAUUAUGGAUCCCCAUUAGUUCCUGCCAAGGCAGCAGCUACUCUUCCUGGGGUUUAUUAUGGAUCCCCAUUAGUUCCUGCCAAGGCAGCAGCUACUCUUCCUGGGGUUUAUUAAGGAUCCCCAUUAGUUCCUGCCAAGGCAGCAGCUACUCUUCCUGGAGUUUAUUAGGGAUCCCUGUUAGUUCCUGCCAAAGCAGCAGCUACUCUUCCUGGGGUACAACAAAAUUAAAGCCAUUUAUACAAUUUUAAAAAACAUUACAAUACAUUCACAGAUUUCACAACACACUGUGUGCCCUCAGGGCCCCUACUCCAUCACUACCACAUAGCUACAGUACAAAAUCCGUGUGUGUGUGUGUGUAUAGUGCGCAUGUUAUCGUGCGUGUGAAUGCAUGUGUCUGUGUCUAUGAUUGUGUCGCUUCACAGUCCCCGAUGUUCCAUAAGUAGUUUUUUAUAUGUUUUUUAAAUCUCAUUCUACUGCUGCAUCAGUUACUUGAUGUGGAAUAGAGUUCCAUGUAGUCAUGGCUCUAUGUAGUACUGUGAGCCUCCCAUAGUCUGUUCUGGACUUGGGGACUGUGAAGAGACCUCUUGUGGCAUGUCUUGUGGGGUAUGCAUGGGUGUCUGAGCUGCGUGCCAGUAGUUUAAACAGACAGCUCGGGUACAUUCAACAUGUCAAUACCUCUCACAAAUACAAGUAGUGAUGAAGUCAAUCUCUCCUCCACUUUGAGCCAGGAGAGAUUGACAUGCAUAUGAUUAAUGUUAGCUCUCUGUGUACAUCCAAGGGCCAGCCGUGCUGCUCUGUUCUGAGCCAAUUGCAAUUUUCCUAAGGUGUGACAAAACUAGGGACUGUAGGACCUGCCUUGUUGAUAGUGUUGUUAAGAAGGCAGAGAAAUGCUUUAUUAUGGACAGACUUCUCCCCAUCUUAGCUACUGUUAUAUCAAUAUGUUUUGACCAUGACAGUUUACAAUCCAGAGUUACUCCAAGCAGUUUAGUCACCUCAACCUGCUCAAUUUCCAUAUUAUGUAUUACAAUAUUUAGUUGAGGUUUAGGGUUUAGUGAAAUAUUUGUCCCAAAUACAAUGCUUUUAGUUUUUGAAAUAUUUAGGACUAACAUACAGUGCAUUCGGAAAGUAUUCAGACCCCUUCACUUUUUCCACAUUUUGUUACGUUACAGCCUUAUUCUAAAAUUGAUACAUUUUUAUCUACACACAAUACCCCAUAAUGACAAAGCACAAACAGGUUUUUUAGAAACGUUUGCAAAUGUAUUAAAAAUAAAAAGCUGAAAUAUCACAUUUACGUAAGUAUUCAGACCCUUUAGUCAAAACUUUGUUGAAGCACCUUUGGCAGCGAUUACAGAAUCGAGUCUUCUUGGGUAUGAUGGUUUAUAUUUAGGAUAAUGUUUUACAGCUGUGUAACUCUUUUUAGAAAAAUCAUCUUAUUUAAUUAUGUUAUAUUUAUUUUUCACAUGUGAUAAGGCCACAUAAUCUUAAAUACCCAAAAGGGACAGUAGAUGUCUUGUAAUCGAUUACAUAAAAUCCUUGAAAGAUACCAACAUUCUGGUAGUUUGCAAGUAAAAUUUCAGGUAAUAUACCCUCCUUUUGUUUCCAAAAGCAUGCCCAAGUCCUCAGUCACUUUGAAUCAAAUGUUAUAGCAACCCAAAUACCAUAACAAGUUGCACAUCAAAUCAAAUCUAAUUUUAAUUGUCACAUGUGCAGACUACUUACUUACAAGCCCUUAAUCUAACAAUGCAGUUCAAGAAAUAGAGUUAAUAAAAUAUUUACUAAAUAAACUAAAGUAAAUUAAAAAAAUAAAAAAGUA
rnacentral:lncRNA from 1 species